ACUAGGAAAUGGCCGGACUAGACUUUGAACAUAUAGGCCUUUAGCACCAGUGUCCAUAGUUUAGGCCUCUGUACUAAACUAAUCACACCUUUUGUGUGGUUGCCUCUUACUGGAAUCUUCUUUCCCUCCAAAGCCCACCCCUCAGGGCGCAGCUCAGAUGCAGCCUCCUGCAUGACGCCGCCCUGAUCCUACUCCCACGGGUAAUAGGCUCUCUUCUGCUCUUGUGGGGCGGGGAAUAUGGGAAAACAUCAGAGCCGGUGGCACGGGAGUUUGGGGGACUCCAAGAUCAGUCAGCACUGGGCUGGAUGUGGUGGGAAGGCCCCAAGGCUUGUACUUGGAAGUCUGCACUUGUGUUGAGGUUGCAGAAAUUCUGGAAAGUUCAAGCUUUGAAGAAGGAAGCUGUCGUGUUGUUAGCUGCCAUAUGGAUAAGGAGCCAAGGGUCACCUCUGGCUGACAACUGACAACAAACUGAGGCCCCCAGUCUGGCAGCCUACAAGGAACUGAAUCCUGUCAACAACCCCAUGAGCUUAGAGGGCUGCGGAUUGCUGUUUCUUCACCCACCAAGGCUGGAGCUUCGUGACAGUCCAACUCAUCAGCACGCAGCACCGAUGGAAUCUAACACCCACCAGAGCAAAACAGAAAGUUUCCAAGUUUGUGAA